UACGAAGGGGGCUAGCGUUGCUCGGAAUCACUGGGCGUAAAGGGUGCGUAGGCGGGUUUUUAAGUCAGGGGUGAAAUCCUGGAGCUCAACUCCAGAACUGCCUUCGAUACUGGCGACCUUGAGUCCGGGAGAGGUGAGUGGAACUCCGAGUGUAGAGGUGAAAUUCGUAGAUAUUCGGAAGAACACCAGUGGCGAAGGCGGCUCACUGGCCCGGUACUGACGCUGAGGUGCGAAAGCGUGGGGAGCAAACAGG
rnacentral:rRNA from 1 species